AUAUACUUGUGUUCCUGAUAUUGUUACCUGUGAUAUGUAUCGCAGAUGGGGAUGAAACAUCAGAUGGUGACUGGAAUGUAGACCAGGAGGCGCAGAUUGCAGAGCUGCGCCAGCUGAUGCGCCAGGGGAGACUUCAUAAGAUUCAUACAACAACUGAGCCCCCAGCAUCAAGAUCAUGGGCUAAACGUAAAUCUCGCCCAUCUGCCAGCUUGCAGGCUUCAGCCCCACCUCCGU